rnacentral:misc_RNA from 1 species
UCCGGUUUGUCACCGGCAGUCCCAUUAGAGUGCUCAACUGAAUGUAGCAACUAAUGGCAAGGGUUGCGCUCGUUGCGGGACUUAACCCAACAUCUCACGACACGAGCUGACGACAGCCAUGCAGCACCUGUGUCCAGGCUCCCUUUCGGGCACCGAGGUAUCUCUACCCCCUUCCGCACAUGUCAAGGGUAGGUAAGGUUUUUCGCGUUGCAUCGAAUUAAUCCACAUAAUCCACCGCUUGCGCGGGCCCCCGUCAAUUCCUUUGAGUUUUAAUCUUGCGACCGUACUCCCCAGGCGGAAUGCUUAAUGCGUUAGCUGCGCCACCGACGGGCAAGCCCGCCAACGGCUGGCAUUCAUCGUUUAAGGCGUGGACUAC